rnacentral:misc_RNA from 1 species
AUUUUUUCUUUUAGCUUCUCACGUAGUUUUCUUGUAUAUAUAUCAAAUUAUCCAAUUGAUGUGCAGGAAAGAUGCAGUUGAAUAUUAGUAAGGAGUUAAGGUGCUGGUGUACCGGAAACCACAUGCUUCUUGUUUUGAGGCUGUUCAUAUUCUUGAGAUCAUUGAAUAAAUAAAAUAGAUGAAACCAAUGUAAUAGGUGUAACUAUAAUGAGGUGUGGUCUAAGUUGAUACUCAUAUCAGGGUAUUAAGGACAGUAAAUAAAAUUAUGAUUUUUAUAUUUCUGAGUCUUCUUUUGCAUUACAAACUGUUAUGUUUCUCAUUUAUCCGCACAUUUCUAUCUUUCAUUUAAAUUUAGGGCGGAUGAGGAACCUGUUGAUCAAAAGAAG